rnacentral:lncRNA from 1 species
GUCACCUCCCCGCCCCUCAGCAGAGGGUCUUUGGUCCUGAGCGGGUGGUUCUGGGGCCUCUGCUUGGAAAUAGAGAUGGGCAGGUCGAGGGAGAGAGUGUACAGCGAACAGAGGAGGGUGAAAGGAGAGGAAGCCUGUGGACAGUCUUCAGGGUCGUGGCGGGGGCAGAAGUUUACUGGAAUUGGGAACAAUCCAAGGGCUUCCUAGGCUUUUGCUUCUUAUGACCGAAGCCGGUGUAGGACCUUUUUCCGAACUCAAGAAGCCUAGGGACGCGAGGCCUGGGGCUUGAGCCGGGCCUCUUUGGGAGCUUGGAGCCCAACGGACGCUGAGGACGCGAGAUGGAAGGAGAGUCCGGGUGGAUGUGGGAAGGGAAGGAGAGCGGCGGGUCUGCGGGCCUGGGUGUGCCUCAUCCAGUCUGACUUUUGAUUCUUCGCUGUGGGAUUUGAAGCCAGGCCAGAGCUUUCUCUGAAUGCAGACCCACCAGUCUUGACCAACAACUUCAUUUCACGUAUCAACACCAUGUCCUGUCUAUCCC